UAUACACAAGAUAAAGGUAAACACAAA
rnacentral:sRNA from 1 species